UCUAGACAAGUGCUAUCCGCGCUGGACCGYGUACAAGUCUCCUGGAACGGAGCGUCAUAGAGGGUGAGAAUCCCGUCUUUGACACGGACUACCAGGGCUUUUGUGAUGCGCUCUCAAAGAGUCGAGUUGUUUGGGAAUGGCAGCUCUAAAUGGGUGGUAAAUUCCAUCUAAAGCUAAAUAUUGGCGAGAGACCGAUAGCGAMCAAGUACCGUGAGGGAAAGAUGAAAAGAACUUUGGAAAGAGAGUUAAMCAGUACGUGAAAUUGUUGAAAGGGAAACGCUUGAAGUCAGUCGCGUUGGCCAGGGAUCAACCUUGCUCUUUUGCUUGGUGUACUUUCUGGUUGAUGGGUCAGCAUCAAUUUUGACUGGUGGAUAAAGGUCAGGGGAAUGGUGGCAUCUUCGGAUGUGUUAUAGCCCUUGGUUGCAUACAUCGGUUGGGAUUGAGGAACUCAGCACGCCGCAAGGCCGGGUUUUUACCCACGUACGUGCUUAGGAUGCUGGCAUAAUGGCUUUAAUCGACCCGUCUUGAAACACGGACCAAGGAGUCUAACAUGCACGCGAGUGUUUGGGUGGAAAACUCGAGCGCGUAAUGAAAGUGAAAGUUGAGAUCCCUGUCGCGGGGAGCAUCGACGCCCGGWCCAGACCUUUUGUGACGG
rnacentral:rRNA from 1 species